ACAGAAAUACCAUUUAGAAAAAAACGGGUAAAUGCAAGUUUGAGUUUGAGUUUCAGUAUGAAAAA
rnacentral:rRNA from 14 species